UCAGUGGCACAGUUGAGGAAAGCACAAGAAGAAGACAGAAGUACUGUAAAUCUCAAGAAAUUCUGAAUGAAAUAAAAAGUUCUCCACAACAAUCCAGCAGCAUACAAUUCCCCAAUUCAUUUUAUGAAUCCCAUCAAGAUUCUGCCAGUCCAGACAUAGUCAAUAAUUUGAGAUCUUCAUCUUGGUAUACAUAUACUUCUACAACUGGUAUGGAGAUAACAGACUUUACUCU